AUGCAUGUCUAAGUACAAGCCUAACUAAGGUGAAACCGCGAAUGGCUCAUUAAAUCACACCUAAUCUACUGGAAUGUUAGCAGUUACUUGGAUAACUGAGGUAAUUCUUGAGCUAAUACAUGCGAAAAAUCUCGACUCACGGAGAGAUGCUUUUAUUAGAUCAAAACCAAACAGAUUCGUCUGUAUAUUUGGUGACUCGGAAUAACUUUGGGCUGAUCGCAUUGCCUUGUGCAGGCGACGUUUCCUUCGAAGGUGUGCCCUAUCAACUGUCGACUGUGAUAUAGACGCUCACAGUGGUUUUGACGGGUAACGGGGAAUCAGGGUUCGAUUCCGGAGAGGGAGCCUUAAAAACGGCUACCACAUCCAAGGAAGGCAGCAGGCACGCAAAUUACCCAAUGAACGAAGUUCGAGGUAGUGACGAAAAAUAACAAUACAAGACUCUUCCGAGGCCUUGUAAUUGGAAUGAGUACACUUUAAAACCGUUCCCGAGGAUCUAUUGGAGGGCAAGUCUGGUGCCAGCAGCCGCGGUAAUUCCAGCUCCAAUAGCGUAUAUUAAAGUUGUUGUGGUUAAAAAGCUCGUAGUUGGAUUUCGGCGGGUAUAGGUUGGGUUUGAAUUGCUUCAAUACUGACUUUUUUACCCGUGUGUUUUGCCAGAAUUUAACGGGUGAUCUUCGCCGAUUGUCUGUUAGAACUGACAGGUUUACUUUGAAAAAAUUAGAGUGCUCAAAGCAAGCUUGAUUGCUUGAAUAUUC
rnacentral:rRNA from 1 species